AUGAGCUGCUGAGCAUAAAAUUUCAAUCAUGUUCUUGUUUCAGGCAGUAAUAAGUCUGUGAAUGAGAAUUAAUUUAAGAGGUCUUCUUUUUUGCCUUCACAUUGACUCCAAUAUGAAGGUGAGCUAAAUAAGAUUCCAAGUUUUGUUUUUAAGUCAAUUCUCCUUUCAGAGACAUAUUGAAAUCAUAUUUUUAUUCACCAAUUUCUAGGGAAGAAAAAUCUAGAAAUAUGGCAGAUGGACAAGUUGGGAUGUUCAAAGUACUCUAGGAAUUAUUCUUGUUUUACCAUCUAUUUGAAAGGAGCCCAGGAAUCCAACAAAAUGAAAAGUGUAACUGUGGAAUGGAUACAAGCCACAUAUUCAGAUUCCAUAUAGGCAGAAACAAAAUAUUUCAUGAUAUUUUACUGGGGAACAGGAAGAAGUACAUCUGAAAACAAUGGCAUUUUUCAAGUGGAAGAUUUUCAGAAAUAUGUAUGGUCAAGGAAAGAAUGCCACUUAUUUGUGAGGACUCACCUGUACGUGUAAGGACCUCUUUGUUUAACUUUAAUUUUGCUGCUGUUAGCUACCACUUCCUGUGGGUUUUGCACAUCAUAGAUCCAAAACUGUCUGUAAACUUCUGUGCCUGUUUUAACCCAA